GACGAACGCUGGCGGCGUGCUUUACACAUGCAAGUCGAACGGGAUCAGCCUUUUGGGGGUUGGUUAGUGGCGAACGGGUGAGUAACACGUGGGUAACCUGCCCUUGGCUUUGGGAUAAGCCCUGGAAACGGGGUCUAAUACCGAAUAUGACCUGUCACUGCAUGGUGGUGGGUGGAAAGAUUUUUUGGCCAGGGAUGGGCCUGCGGCCUAUCAGUUUGUUGGUGGGGUGAUGGCCUACCAAGGCGACGACGGGUAGCCGGCCUGAGAGGGCGACCGGUCACACUGGGACUGAGAUACGGCCCAGACUCCUACGGGAGGCAGCAGGUGGGGAAUAUUGGACAAUGGGCGAAAGCCUGAUCCAGCAACGCCGCGUGGGGAUGACG
rnacentral:rRNA from 1 species